UACGUAGGUGGCAAGCGUUUGUCCGGAAUUAUUGGGCGUAAGCGCGCGCAGGCGGUCCUUUAAGUCUGAUGUGAAAGCCCACGGCUCAACCGUGGAGGUCAUUGGAAACUGGGGGACUUGAGUGCAGAAGAGGAAAGCGGAAUUCCACGUGUAGCGGUGAAAUGCGUAGAUAUCAGGAGGAACACCGGUGGCGAAGGCGGCUCUUUGGUCCACAACUGACGCUGGAGGUGCGAAAGCCAGGGGGAGC
rnacentral:rRNA from 1 species